rnacentral:rRNA from 1 species
CUACAUGAAGCUGGAGUUACUAGUAAUCGCAGAUCAGAAUGCUGCGGUGAAUGCGUUCCCGGGUCUUGUACACACCGCCCGUCACACCACGGGAGGUGGAGACGCCCGAAGCCGAUUAUCUAACCUUUUGGAAGAAGUCGUCGAAGGUGGAAUCAAUAACUGGGGUGAAGUCGUAACAAGGUAGCCGUAUCGGAAGGUGCGGCUGGAUCACCUCCUUUCUAAG